rnacentral:rRNA from 1 species
AUGCAGCACGUCCUGCUAGCCUGCCCCUUCUCGCGGCAGGUUUGGCACGAGAUCCUUUCCUGGAUGCGCAUGACCUGCCGAGCGCCGGCCAAUGACAGCUCCCUGCUCGACUGGUGGCUCAACGCCAGGCAAGACACCUCCCAGCUGAUGCGCAAGGGGCUUGCAUCCGCGACGCUUCUGACAUCCUGGAUGAUUUGGAAACACAGAAAUGACUGCAUCUUCAACCGCGAGCAACCGUCCGUUCACACCUUAGUGAGUAGGAUCAAAGCCGAAGCCAGGCUCUGGGCCACUGCUGGCCUUAGAGUCGUGCUGCCCACCACAUGGGAUGUGCACUAG